rnacentral:rRNA from 2 species
UCAGACUCGUGGCGAAUAGCUCAGUAACACGUGGCCAAACUACCCUUCGGAACACAAUACCCUCGGGAAACUGAGGCUAAUAGUGUAUACCAUACCACCACUGGAAUGAGUGGUAUGCCAAACGCUCCGGCGCCGAAGGAUGUGGCUGCGGCCGAUUAGGUAGACGGUGGGGUAACGGCCCACCGUGCCAAUAAUCGGUAUGGGUCAUGAGAGUGAGAACCCAGAGACGGAAUCUGAGACAAGAUUCCGGGCCCUACGGGGCGCAGCAGGCGCGAAACCUUUACACUGCACGACAGUGCGAUAGGGGGAUCCCAAGUGCACAGGCAUAGCGCCUGUGCUUUUCGGUACCCUAAGGCGGUACCAGAAUAAGGGCUGGGCAAGACCGGUGCCAGCCGCCGCGGUAAUACCGGCAGCCCAAGUGAUGGCCGAUCUUAUUGGGCCUAAAGCGUCCGUAGCUGGCCGCGCAAGUCCAUCGGGAAAUCCACCUGCUCAACAGGUGGGCGCCCGGUAGAAACUGCGUGGCUUGGGACCGGAAGGCGCGACGGGUACGU